rnacentral:rRNA from 1 species
UACAGAGGGUACGAGCGUUAAUCGGAAUUACUGGGCGUAAAGAGCUUGUAGGCGGUUUGUCGCGUCUGCUGUGAAAAUCCGGGGCUCAACCCCGGACUUGCAGUGGGUACGGGCAGACUAGAGUGUGGUAGGGGAGACUGGAAUUCCUGGUGUAGCGGUGGAAUGCGCAGAUAUCAGGAGGAACACCGAUGGCGAAGGCAGGUCUCUGGGCCACUACUGACGCUGAGAAGCGAAAGCAUGGGGAGCGAACAGG